UGGGGAAUAUUGCACAAUGGGCGCAAGCCUGAUGCAGCCAUGCCGCGUGUGUGAAGAAGGCCUUCGGGUUGUAAAGCACUUUCAGCGGGGAGGAAGGCGGUGAGGUUAAUAACCUCAUCGAUCGACGUUACCCGCAGAAGAAGCACCGGCUAACUCCGUGCCAGCAGCCGCGGUAAUACGGAGGGUGCAAGCGUUAAUCGGAAUUACUGGGCGUAAAGCGCACGCAGGCGGUCUGUCAAGUCGGAUGUGAAAUCCCCGGGCUCAACCUGGGAACUGCAUUCGAAACUGGCAGGCUAGAGUCUUGUAGAGGGGGGUAGAAUUCCAGGUGUAGCGGUGAAAUGCGUAGAGAUCUGGAGGAAUACCGGUGGCGAAGGCGGCCCCCUGGACAAAGACUGACGCUCAGGUGCGAAAGCGUGGGGAGCAAACAGG
rnacentral:rRNA from 1 species